rnacentral:rRNA from 1 species
UCCUGGCUCAGGAUGAACGCUAGCGGCGCGCUUAACGCAUGCAAGUCGAGCGAUGAGGCUCCCUUCGGGGAGUACAUCAGCGGCAGACGGGUGAGUAACACGUAGAUAACCUGCCCUCAAGACGGGGACAACCGGUGGAAACAGCGGCUAAUACCCGAUAUGCUCACAGGAUCGGGAGAUCGAGUGAGGAAAGCGCCCCUUCGGGGGAGAGUGUUUGAGGAGGGAUCUGCGGCCCAUCAGCUAGUUGGUGAGGUAACGGCUCACCAAGGCGAAGACGGGUAGGGGGUGUGAGAGCAUGGCCCCCCACAAUGGGACUGAGACACGGCCCAUACUCCUACGGGAGGCAGCAGCGGGGAAUAUUGCGCAAUGGACGGAAGUCAGACGCAGCGACGCCGCGUGGGUGAGGAAGGCCUUCGGGUUGUAAAGCCCUUUUCAGGGGAGCGAGAAAGGACGGUACCCUUGGAAUAAGCGUCGGCUAACUACGUGCCAGCAGCCGCGGUAAGACGUAGGACGCAAGCGUUAUCCGGAUUUACUGGGCGUAAAGCGCCUGUAGGCGGUCAAGUAAGUCGGAUGUGAAAGCCCCGUGCUCAACGCGGGGAAGCCAUUCGAUACUGCGUGACUAGAGAACGGCAGAGGGAAACGGAAUUUCUGGUGUAGCGGUAAAAUGCGCAGAGAUCAGAAAGAACACCGAUGGCGAAGGCAGUUUCCUAGGCCGCAUCUGACGCUGAGAGGCGAAAGCUAGGGGAGCAAACAGGAUUAGAGACCCUGGUAGUCCUAGCUGUAAACGAUGGAUGCUAGGUUGUGGGCCGGAAAGGUCCGUGCCGUAAUUAACGCGAUAAGCAUCCCGCCUGGGGAGUACGGCCGCAAGGCUAAAACUCAAA